AGAAAAUAUUGAAUAAAGUCAACUAUUUUGUUAUGCAUCUAUAAAAAAAAGCAUUGGGGUUCUGACAAAACAUGGACUAAAAUAAAAUUACCUGUCUGUAUGCCACAAUAAGUGAAUUCCCCUUGAAAAGAGGUGUGUGUCAGACUUGCAAGUUAGGGCUUGCAAACCAAACACUAUCAAGUAAAAUCAUUUUAGAUUUCCCAAGGAAGAAACACAGGACUGAUUACCAGCAAAAGCUGGGACUGCUACAGAGCAGCACAUCAGCUCCCUGGCAACAAGUAGGUAGGCAACACCUUGCAUCAAACAGUGACCAUCCCAGCCAAUUAACAAAAAACAUCCACAGGCUCCAAUGGGAGUACGAGCUAGUCAACGUUGGUAGGAUAAUGGUUUGAAGUGAAGCCCUGAGGUUUGCUCUAACAGGGAUUUUGAGAACCCCUGGGAAAUUUAACUCUCCUCCUCUCACUCAUACACUCCACUAGUAAUUAAGCAAUAUCAAGCCAUAAAACACAAAUAUAUUGAAAUGAGUUGAAAAAGUUAAAUUCAGUCUUCUUAUGCCUCAGAUUCAGCUUUCAUUGUUGAAGUCAGGUUUGCUCCUGCUUACUCUUACCUGCAUCAUUUGAAAGGUACAGAAGAGCUUACUCAAUUUUAAUUAUAAGCCCACUUACAGUUAAAUCAGGUCUGUUAUGUCAAUUAAUAACUAUUAUGUUUAUGGGCCUACACAACAACACUUCAGGGCAGGGACCCUCAUCUUCAAAGUGCUCACAAUCUAAACAGAUAAUCCAAUGAAAAGUGACUAACAGUAUUUUGCAGUCAGGAAGGAAGGAAGGAAGGAAGGAAGAGGUCUAUGGAUGGGGAAGAGAACACAGCUUUGAGGAUAGCAUUAUUUUUUUAAAUAAAAGCAGAUAGCGUUUUCUGAUCAGUUUUAUAUUUUUUUCUUAAUGUUUUC